UUGGUUAGUCUGUGAUAAAAACUACUUUUACCAAUUAGGUGUUGCAAUGAAUAGCCCUGUCCCGGCAAGUGCAUUCUCAAAUGCUUUGUUAAAUGAAUUUUUAUCCCCCCAUAAAUAAAUUUUAUCAUUCCUAUCGGUGCAUAAAAGAACGCCAUUCCUGUGCUGAUUGGUGAAUGUCCAAGAAUAAAUCAGACAUAAAAAAUGGAUCAUUUGCUUAACAGGAAUAAAAUUAGUGAUGGAUUCGUGGCCGAGGCUUAGAUUGAUAUGGUCAAACUGUUCAAUGGGAAAUUUGGUCUCACCAUCACAAAGAUACUCUGAGGCAUAGACACAAACAUUUGAGGAGGCAAUGUAAUGAUACAAAGGUUCUUCUUGAACAGAUAGGGUUGUCUUGAGAUCAAGAGAAAUGGUGACCUCUGAGAUUAUGUCUAAGAUUCUUAUACCUAGGUACUCAAGUGCUUAUGAAACAACUCAGGCUUUGCAAUCUCAAGACCAAAGAGGCCUGUUAGAGUGUGCACACCUCCUGAUAGUUGCUAGUUGAUGAUUACCACUAAACAGUUUUGUGGUCAAAUCACAAGAAGG